GUGGGGAAUAUUGGACAAUGGGCGAAAGCCUGAUCCAGCCAUGCCGCGUGUGUGAAGAAGGUCUUCGGAUUGUAAAGCACUUUAAGUUGGGAGGAAGGGCAGUAAGUUAAUACCUUGCUGUUUUGACGUUACCGACAGAAUAAGCACCGGCUAACUUCGUGCCAGCAGCCGCGGUAAUACGAAGGGUGCAAGCGUUAAUCGGAAUUACUGGGCGUAAAGCGCGCGUAGGUGGUUUUGUAAGUUGGAGAUGAAAUCCCCGGGCUCAAACUGGGAACUGCCUCCAAAACUGCAUGACUAGAGUACGGUAGAGGGUAGUGGAAUUUCCUGUGUAGCGGUGAAAUGCGUAGAUAUAGGAAGGAACACCAGUGGCGAAGGCGACUACCUGGACUGAUACUGACACUGAGGUGCGAAAGCGUGGGGAGCAAACAGGAUUAGAAACCCUUGUAGUCC
rnacentral:rRNA from 1 species